rnacentral:rRNA from 1 species
UACGAGGGGGGCGAGCGUUGUUCGGAAUUAUUGGGCGUAAAGGGCGCGUAGGCGGUGCGGUAAGUCACCUGUGAAAUCUCCGGGCUCAACUCGGAGCCUGCAGGCGAAACUGCCGUGCUGGAGUGUGGGAGAGGUGCGUGGAAUUCCCGGUGUAGCGGUGAAAUGCGUAGAUAUCAGGAGGAACACCGGUGGCGAAGGCGCUCAUCUGGCCCAAUACUGACGCUGAUGCGCGAAAGCUAGGGGAGCAAACGGG